UCAAAUUACAAGGCGAUGGCAAGGUGCUAUGCCGAUUUUUUGAAUACCUUGACCGCUACUUUAUCCCUCAAAAGAAAGAACUUCCAAACCUUGAUAAACUCUCUGUUAAAGUCUUUCACGAAUUGGUUUUCAAAAAUUUCUAUUGUGAACUCCGGGCUGCUGCAUUAUCAUUGAUCAAGCAGGAACGCGAAGGAUUGCAGAUUGAUCAGGACCUGCUGAAGAAUGUCAUCUUUAUCUUUUCAGAAAUUGAUAAUUGUGGAGAAAUAAAAUAUUAUGCAAUUU